GAUGAACGCUGGCGGCGUGCUUAACACAUGCAAGUCGAACGGAAAGGCCCUGCUUUUGUGGGGUGCUCGAGUGGCGAACGGGUGAGUAACACGUGAGUAACCUGCCCUUGACUUUGGGAUAACUUCAGGAAACUGGGGCUAAUACCGGAUAGGAGCUCCUGCUGCAUGAUGGGGGUUGGAAAGUUUCGGCGGUUGGGGAUGGACUCGCGGCUUAUCAGCUUGUUGGUGGGGUAGUGGCUUACCAAGGCUUUGACGGGUAGCCGGCCUGAGAGGGUGACCGGCCACAUUGGGACUGAGAUACGGCCCAGACUCCUACGGGAGGCAGCAGUGGGGAAUAUUGCACAAUGGGCGGAAGCCUGAUGCAGCAACGCCGCGUGCGGGAUGACGGCCUUCGGGUUGUAAACCGCUUUCGCCUGUGACGAAGCGUGAGUGACGGUAAUGGGUAAAGAAGCACCGGCUAACUACGUG
rnacentral:rRNA from 1 species